ACCCGCCAGCCCCGCGCUCUACCAGGCAGAGCGCGUGUGGCCGCCGAGCACAUGGACCCACUGGUCAAGCGGGCUCGGCAAGGCCAGGAUGAAGAGAAGCUACGAACUUAGCAUUCCCAGAGCCCCCCGAGUGGAUAUCCGCGUGGAAAGGAUGUUGGCAGCCCCGGUGACCUCGGAGUCACGGCUGGAUCCACCCUCUUGUCUGAUUUUCUUAACUCUACUACGGUAAGAAGAUGCCCUCCAUCAGCAGGCCGUGUCUGCUGGGACCUCUCUGGAGACUUCCUGAACCCUGUGGAUUUACAGUAAGAUGCAGUUUCCUGGGGAGUAAUUCUGGUGGAUACAAAUUCCGGAGUAUUACACCUGGCUUGCCUGGAGAUGUUACAAGUAGCUGGAUGGAUUCUUCAGCCUGGAUGCCCACUGAAAACAAGGACCGAAACUAAGAGGAUUGUAUCUCUACCCUUGACUCAAUGAGAAUGUUUGUUGUCAUCUCUCGGGCUACCUGGAGCUCCCUCUAAAAUAGAGCCGAGUUCUGUCACCACAGACAUUGGCAGUGGCACUUGCAUGCCCCUGGCAAGCAGUCUAUCCUGAGGUGGAGGAAGUUGCCCUUGAGUUCUGGCUGGUAACCAGCACAGUAUACCCUUUAAGCGUUCCAGAAGGAUUUUGAGAUCCUUUCCUAAAUCAAAGGUGGAAUAUUUGGGGAUUUGGAAAAUUGAGAUGUGAAGCGUUGACUUAAGAGAUGCCAAGUAACUCAGCAGAUGUCACACAGACGAUAAAUAGCAAAGAUGGAAGUCUUCAUGCCGGAGGCAAUCCUAUAAGACAGCUGAGUUCUGCAGAGCUGGUAGGAGACAGACUUGCUCAGGUGAUAGAUCCAGCCAUGAUACUGACCCUAAGAGAAUGAGACGCUCUGCAGAAGACAGAAGAUUCCUGAAACUGGGAAAGGUGCCUAGAAAUCCUGAUAAGAGUGAAGAAGGAGCUGGCAGAGCAGCCUUCCUCCGCACUAUGAAAGACAUCCAACAGAGAGCAAGUUCCCACCUCACUUCCAGCUUGACUCCUUUUUAUCUCCUAACUGUGGUCUGUGAUGUCUUCAGCAAUGGUAUUAACUAGUUCUGGGUACCUGGAGGCACAGCAGCCAUGUUGAACCUAUGAGGUGAUGAAAAACCAUGCAACUAGAAACCAGAAUGGAAGAAAAGAAGAAGCUGGAUCCUUGACUGAAUUGUCGAUGGGGGAUAGUCCAUCAUCCCAGGGCUAAGACCACCUCCAGAUUUCUUGUUUGGUGAAACAAGUCCUGAUUGUUUACAUUCCCUCGUGUUGAGCUGUCUCUUGCUUGUAGCUGAAAGCAUUUCUAAUAGAUAUUCAGAUUAUCAGCCUUAGCUCCAAGCUAGAAUACUCUAUGGGACCUUAGCUUCUCCAUGAAUUCCUUUGCUCAUCUGUGUAAUGCUCAAUAAAUGUAAAUUGAACCCUGAAUGAGGGACAAUGACACUA
rnacentral:lncRNA from 1 species